UGGGGAAUCUUGGACAAUGGGCGCAAGCCUGAUCCAGCCAUGCCGAGUGAGUGAAGAAGGCCUUAGGGUUGUAAAGCUCUUUUGGCAGGGACGAUAAUGACGGUACCUGCAGAAUAAGCCCCGGCAAACUUCGUGCCAGCAGCCGCGGUAAUACGAAGGGGGCUAGCGUUGUUCGGAUUUACUGGGCGUAAAGCGCACGUAGGCGGAUUGUUAAGUCAGGGGUGAAAUCCCGGAGCUCAACUCCGGAACUGCCUUUGAUACUGGCAAUCUUGAGGCUGGAAGAGGUUGGUAGAAUUCCCAGUGUAGAGGUGAAAUUCGUAGAUAUUGGGAAGAAUACCAGUGGCGAAGGCGGCCAACUGAUCCAGAUCUGACGCUGAGGUGCGAAAGCGUGGGGAGCAAACA
rnacentral:rRNA from 1 species